rnacentral:rRNA from 1 species
GAUGAACGCUGGCGGCGUGCCUAAUACAUGCAAGUCGAGCGAACAGAUAAGGAGCUUGCUCCUUUGACGUUAGCGGCGGACGGGUGAGUAACACGUGGGUAACCUACCUAUAAGACUGGAAUAACUCCGGGAAACCGGGGCUAAUGCCGGAUAACAUUUAGAACCGCAUGGUUCUAAAGUGAAAGAUGGUUUUGCUAUCACUUAUAGAUGGACCCGCGCCGUAUUAGCUAGUUGGUAAGGUAACGGCUUACCAAGGCAACGAUACGUAGCCGACCUGAGAGGGUGAUCGGCCACACUGGAACUGAGACACGGUCCAGACUCCUACGGGAGGCAGCAGUAGGGAAUCUUCCGCAAUGUGCGAAAGCCUGACGGAGCAACGCCGCGUGAGUGAUGAAGGUCUUCGGAUCGUAAAACUCUGUUAUUAGGGAAGAACAAAUGUGUAAGUAACUGUGCACGUCUUGACGGUACCUAAUCAGAAAGCCACGGCUAACUACGUG